GUUAACAUCUCUUCAGCACAAAUGCCUGCAAGAACAGUCCAGGAACAAACUGUCUUUGUGGAUAUUUCAAUAUUGCUGCCUCUUUCUGUGCAGGCAAGAAAGGAUUCCUUUCCAAAAUGGGAAGGAAAAGUGCAACAUUCUGGAUAUUUCUAAAGGAGAAAAAUAAGCAGACCUCCUUACUAUGGGCUUGGCCAAGUGUUGGUGCUGACACAGAGGGAAUGAUGGUGUGGCUAUAGACUUGACCUGUGAAAGGCAGAGGCUGGCAGCACAGAUCUUUCUGGAAACAGCUAGCUGUUAGAUUGCCAGACUCAUCAUAAAAGUGCCCAAGUUACCUAUGCAGCAGCAGACUGCAGCAGAAGGUAUUUUUAUCCUCAGCAUUUGGUACAGCAACAACGCAUCUCACAAAAGAAAUCCAGCAUCGGUUCUGAUCAUAUUUAAACUAUCAGGAACUGAGUCAUAUCCCAGUCUGGAAGGAGGAGUGGAUAAGGAACCAGUUUCCCUUUCACAGCAAAAAGAACCAUGAAUUUAAGUUAUUUUUCUUGCUUUGAAGUCCUAAAUACCUUGGCAAUAAAUUGCAGCAUCAUGUCAGAUCUUCCAAAUGGGAUGGGAGCAGCCCACAGAGCCUACGGACCACACUUCCUGCACAGACUGCCUCCUGCCUGCCAACCAUGGCAGC